GUCUAGACGAUUCACUUUGGGCUCAAAGAACAGCUUUUAAGACACCAAUAUGGAUGUCUCCCUAUCGACUUGUUUUUGGCAAGGCAUGUCACAUUCUUAUAGAGAUAGAACACCGUGCUUAUUAGGCGGUAAAAAGUUGUAAUUUGGAGAUGCAACAAGCAGUUAUUGAAAGAAAACUCCAAUAAUAACAACUUGAAGAACUUAGGCUAGAGGCUUAUGAGAGCUAUAGGAUUUAUAAA
rnacentral:lncRNA from 1 species